ensembl:lncRNA
GUCUUGGGUCUGGCGUGUGGGAGUUGGGUCCCAGUUAGGGAGGAAGCUGGCUUAGGUGUGAGUUAACAGGUGUGGUGGCCUGCACUUUAAUCCUAGCCAGGUCUUCUCAUUGGAGGAGCGGACUGGCUUAGAGGGUGGUAUGAAGCCAAUAUUCAGGUUACAGGUGAGACCGUGUGCUUUACAGGAAUCUCGGAGGCAGAAAUGUUUAAACAAAGGAAAGAAAAACACCUUUGAGAGUCUAGUGAGUGAGUGAGAGCUUGGCAGCAGCCCCAGGUCCCUCAGAGGGUUCCCACUUUUCCUCCUCAAAGAGCUUAGACUUUCUCCCUCCAGGCCCCAUUUCCUUGUUGUAGUGACAGACUGGCUGAAAGGCCAACAGAAGGUCAUCUUCUGGCUUCUGCAGAGGAGGAAGACUUGGGGUUUCUUGCCUUUGUUGGAUGCCCCUUCCAAUGGGAGGAAUUUUAGUGAGAGUCAGGGGGAUGACUGCUAAUGAGCUUUGCUGUUCCAGUGGUUCUUCAGGCCCAACAUGUCCAAACAGGCUAUGUCUUCCCCAUAAACUCAUUUCCCUAACCUCCCUAUUUUGGUCAUAAGCGAUAUAAUCCCCCAAGUUGCCAUAACCUCCAAGUCAUUGGAAAGAAACAAGGGCCUGGACUUGGAGGCUUCCAAAACUUCCCCAGAUGUUGGCCAGCUGGCCUCGGUUUCUUCAUCUUAAGAGGCUGACCUUGAUGGUCUUCAAGAUCCUUUCCAGCCUGUGGGCCUAAACAUUCUCUCUCCCCAACCUCACUUAUUCAGUCAGUUGCCAAGUCUCGUCAUCUCUACCUUCGCGGUGUUUCUUUAAUCCAUUCCCUUCUUUCUAUUCACAUCUUCACUGCCCUAGUUGGGGCCUUCAUCAUCUCUUGCCUGGAUUGUUACAGCUAUUACAUCGGCCUGUUUGGUGUUACCCUUUUGUGUUUCUCCCUACAAUCCAUCUUCCACAGAGGUGCCACAAUCAUCACCUUCUUCAGCCACGGGCCAGUCAACCUGUGUCAGUUUCCUCAUCUGUGUUGAAGAAUUUAGGGCAGCUCGGUGGCCUACUGGAUGGAGCAGCAAGCCUAGAGUCAGGAAGAUUCAUCUUCUUCAGCUCAAAUCUGGCAUCUGCCACUUCCUAAAUGUGUGACCUCCGGCCAUUCUCUCAAUCCUAUCUGCCUCAGUUUGCUCAUCUGUAAAAUGAACUGGAGAAGGAAAUGGCCAACCACUACAGCAUCUUUUGCCAAGAAAAUGGACUCCUGAAGAGUUGGACACAACUGAACAUGCUGAAGAAAAGUGCACAAAUGAAUGUUAAAAUAUACUCUGUGAUUAGUCUUAAGUCUGCUAGAAAUAAUUUUAUUUAAAGUGUAUCCAAGGCAUUUCUAGGUUGGAGAGAGAUGUCUCACUGGCGUAGUCUUCUGGGCCUUCCAAUGUGACUGUCCCCGAGAGAAUUCAAGGUAGCAUUUUUACAGGAAUCUCAAACAAAGACGAAAUCAUGAUGUGUUAAAAAUCCAGGUUGGGGAGACCAUUUGAGAACGGUCACCAUCCAGUGCCUUCCUGAACCCUGGCCAGCCCCAUCGCUUCUUGGGGUCAGUAUCUCCACCUUGAAUUUCAAGAGAGAAGGUGCUGUCCCUUGGCCGGUCCCUGGGUGGGUGGUGGAGCCACCCACUCCAAGAAGGUGGGAAGACAGUGAUCUCAUCUAGACGAGAGAUGAGUUUGCUCACGAGCCUUUCUUGAUCUCACAUGAGGAAAAUCUUAGUGUUGGUUCUCUUUUUUGAAAGGGAAAAUGGAGAAAUAGUAUUUUUUUAGUUUUCUAAAGAAAAAUUAAAGAGGCUCUUGAAUAUGCAUCCACAUUUGUAAAGGAGGAAGUUGGAUCAAAUCUUUGUUAAAGGUUUUAAAGGAUUAAAAAAAAUUUUUUAGAUUUUAAACAGUUUUUGCCCUCAAGGAGCCAGAUAGUUGAGG